rnacentral:rRNA from 1 species
AGUGAACGCUGGCGGCGUGCCUAAUACAUGCAAGUCGAACGGAGUGGCUCACGGGUGAGUAAUGUAUAGCUAAUCUUCCCUACACUAGAGGACAACAGUUGGAACCGACUGCUCAUAAUCUAUAGUGUAGGAUGAGGCUUUAUUGUAUCAGCUAGUUGGUGAGGUAAUGGCUCACCAAGGCUAUGACGUAUAACUGGUCUGAGAGGAUGAUCAGUUACACUGGAACUGAGACACGGUCCAGACUCCUACGGGAAGGAGCAGUAGGGAAUAGUGCGCAAUGGGGGAAACCCUGAAGCAGCAACGGCGCGUGGAGGAUGACACUUUUCGGAGCGUAAACUCCUUUUGUUAGGGAAGCGGUACCUAACGAAUAAGCACCGGCUAACUCCGUGCCAGCAGCCGCGGUAAUUC